GACGUAGGGUGCGAGCGUUGUCCGGAUUUAUUGGGCGUAAAGAGCUCGUAGGCGGCUCGUCGCGUCGACCGUGAAAACCCGCGGCUUAACUGCGGGCUUGCGGUUGAUACGGGCGGGCUAGAGUUCGGUAGGGGAGACUGGAAUUCCUGGUGUAGCGGUGAAAUGCGCAGAUAUCAGGAGGAACACCGGUGGCGAAGGCGGGUCUCUGGGCCGAUACUGACGCUGAGGCGCGAAAGCUAGGGGAGCAAACGGG
rnacentral:rRNA from 1 species